rnacentral:rRNA from 1 species
GAUGAACGCUGGCGGCGUGCCUAAUACAUGCAAGUCGAGCGGACAGACAAUGAGCUUGCGCCUCUAACGUUGGCGGCUGGCGGGUGGGUAACGCGUGGAUAACCUACCUCUUUGACGGGGAGGACAUCGGGAAGCCGGUGCUAAUACUGCAGAAUAUAUCCUACGGCAUAGUGCAAUAGAGAUUGACGGCUUUCGUGUCUCUUUUAGAUGGUUCCGCGCCGCAUUAGCUAGUUGGUAAGGUAACGGCUUACCAAGGCUACGAUGCGUAGCUGAUCUGAGAGGGUGAUCGGCCACACUGGAACUGAGACACGGUCCAGACUCCUACGGGAGGCAGCAGUAGGGAAUAUUCCGCAAUGGGCGAAAGCCUGACGGAGCAACGCCGCGUGAGUGAUGAAGGUCUUCGGGUCGUAAAGCUCUGUUAUUAGGAAAGAACAAAUGCGUAAGUAACUAUGCACGUCUUGACGGUACCUAAUCAGAAAGCCACGGCUAACUACGUG